AACGCUGGCGGCGUGCCUAAUACAUGCAAGUAGAACGCUGAAGAGAGGAGCUUGCUCUUCUUGGAUGAGUUGCGAACGGGUGAGUAACGCGUAGGUAACCUGCCUGGUAGCGGGGGAUAACUAUUGGAAACGAUAGCUAAUACCGCAUGAUAUUAAUUAUCGCAUGAUAAUUAAUUGAAAGAUGCAAUUGCAUCACUACCAGAUGGACCUGCGUUGUAUUAGCUAGUUGGUGAGGUAACGGCUCACCAAGGCGACGAUACAUAGCCGACCUGAGAGGGUGAUCGGCCACACUGGGACUGAGACACGGCCCAGACUCCUACGGGAGGCAGCAGUAGGGAAUCUUCGGCAAUGGGGGGAACCCUGACCGAGCAACGCCGCGUGAGUGAAGAAGGUUUUCGGAUCGUAAAGCUCUGUUGUAAGAGAAGAACGGGUGUGAGAGUGGAAAGU
rnacentral:rRNA from 1 species